AAUAUUGGACAAUGGGGGCAACCCUGAUCCAGCCAUGCCGCGUGUGUGAAGAAGGUAUUCGGAUUGUAAAGCACUUUAAGUUGGGAGGAAGGGCUCUAGGUUAAUACCCUGAAGUUUUGACGUUACCAACAGAAUAAGCCACGGCUAACUAUGUGCGAGCAGCCGCGGUAAUACAGAGGGUGCAAGCGUUAAUCGGAAUUAAUGGGAGUAAAGCGCGCGUAGGUGGUUCAGUAAGAUGGGUGUGAAAUCCCCGGGCUUAACCUGGGAACUGCUUUCAUAACUGCUGAGCUAGAGUAAGGUAGGAGGUAGUGGAAUUUCCUGUGUAGCGGUGAAAUGCGUAGAUAUAGGAAGGAACACCAGUGGCGAAGGCGACUACCUGGACUGAUACUGACACUGAGGUGCGAAAGCGUGGGGAGCAAACAGG
rnacentral:rRNA from 1 species